rnacentral:rRNA from 1 species
GGCGGCGAGUGGCGAACGGGUGAGUAACACAUCGGAACGUGCCCAGUAAUGGGGGAUAACUAUCCGAAAGGAUAGCUAAUACCGCAUACGCCCCGAGGGGGAAAGUGGGGGACCAGCAAUGGCCUCACGGUUAUUGGAGCGGCCGAUGGCUGAUUAGCUAGUUGGUGAGGUAAAGGCUCACCAAGGCGACGAUCAGUAGCGGGUCUUAGAGGACGAUCCGCCACACUGGAACUGAGACACGGUCCAGACUCCUACGGGAGGCAGCAGUGGGGAAUCUUGGACAAUUGGGCGCAAGCCUGAUCCAGCAAUGCCGCGUGGGUGAAGAAGGCCUUCGGGUUGUAAAGCCCUUUUGUUUGGGAGCAAAUCCCUUGCUGUUAAUACCGGCUGGGGAUGAGAGUACCAAAAGAAUAAGCACCGGCUAACUACGUG